AUGCUCUCUCCUGCCACGUUCCCUUUCUCCCCCCUGCUCCGCCUUUUACUCCCCUCCGUCCUCACACCUUUGCCGGCCUGGCUCCUCGCUCUCUGGCUCCUGCUCCGCUGUUUGCUUGCCUGGCUGCGCGCACGUGUUCUCUCUUGCUUGCUUGUCAAUCGCUCGCUGGCCCCUUUGCUCGAGCGCUCGCUUGCUCUCCUCUGUUUGCUGCUCUCUCCCCUGCUUGCUCCUCGCUCGCUUUCUCCUCUGCUUGCUGCUUUCUCCCUCUCUCCCCUGCUUGCUCCUCACUCGCUCUCUCCUCUGCUUGCUGCUCUGUUCCCCUGCUUGCUCCUCACGUGCUCUCUCCUCUGCUUGCUCUUCGCUUGCUUUCUCUUCUGCUUGCUCCUCGCUCGCUCUCUCCUCUGCUUGCUGCUCUCUCUUCCCCUGCUUGCUCCUCACAUGCUCUCUCCUCUGCUUGCUGCUCUCUCCCUCUCUCCCCUGCUUGCUCCUCGCUCGCUUUCUCCUCUGCUUGCUGCUCGCUCGCUCUGUUUCUCUGCUCAUUCUUUCACUCGCUUCUGCUCGGCCUGUUUGCUCAUCCUGCCUUUCUUGCCUUGCCGUGCUCGCUUUCUCUCUCUCUCUGUCUCUCCCCUGGCCGCAUGCUCGCUGCUGGAACCUGAAGGCAGGGCAGGGAAGCCUCCUCCCACACACACACUUUUACAAGUGGGAGAAUCGUUCUCCCUGGCUUUUUCCACAAAAGAAACAGAAGCUCAGAAUUCAUGUUCCCCCCAGAUUUUCUUUCCCCCACCCCGUAGAAUAAUCAAUUCUGCCGGGGAGGCGCGGCAAUGACACCUUUCGCCCACCAGGGGCUGCUGUGGUGCCAGAAGCGAGAGCAGCCAGCCCUGGCGAGAGAGGGGCCACUUUGGAUUUGUAUUAUUCUAUGGGGCGGGGGGAAGAAAAUCUGCGGGGGACGUGAAUUCUGCGCUCAUGGCUCUUUUUUCUUUCCUCGCCCUGCCCUGUGUCUUUCCCUUGCUUGCGCCUGUUUGCACGCUGUCUUGCUCACUUUGGCUCACCCCUUUUGCCCAGUGGGCAGGGCCCAUUUUUAGGAGCCGCUCCAAGCCGACGGCGGGAGAGAGCUCUUAAUGAAUCUGUCCCCAACGGUAGCUGUAGUAUAGACAUAGCCUCACUGGGCCCCCCCUGGCUGGUCAGGGGCUUUCUGGGUAAGAGCUGCAAUUUGGAGCAGUAUUAGGGGUGAGGCGGGCUGGUCCGGGGGGUGUUGUAUUAGUGUUUAGGGACUGGGGCUGCUUAUUUA
rnacentral:lncRNA from 1 species